AUAACCUUACACAAGCACUUCUUUUCCUUGCUCAUUAUAUGGGAGAUGUCCAUCAGCCUCUACACACUGGUUUUACCACAGACAAAGGAGGAAAUACAAUAGAUGUUCAUUGGUACACAAGGAAACAAAAUUUUCACCAUGUCAGUCAUGAUCACAAUUCUCAUCAUCAUAAACUACUAUUUCACUAUCUACUUUACUGACUAACUUUGUACCGUUUAGGUUUGGGAUGCUAACAUUAUUUAAAGAGCAGAAGAAAGAUUCUAUGAUAAUAACAUUGAUGAAUACUUCAAGAACAUUCAAAAAAAUAUCACGAAAACAUGGUCAGAUGAAGUGGCAGAUUGGGAAGCAUGCAGUUCUGAUGAGACGACAUGUCCAAAUGUUUAUGCAUCUGAAGGUGUUAAGGAUGCUUGUCAAUACGCAUAUAAAUACGCCCCUGAAGAUGCUACACUAGAAGAUGAUUACUUUCUAUCAUGUUUGCCUAUCAUCAGUUUGCGAUUAGCUCAAGGAGGAGUUCGAUUGGCGGCAACCCUCAAUCGUAUUUUUCAGUGAUGCAAUGAAACAACAUUUUCUAUUGUAAUCUUUUGAAUGCAUGGUUUUAUAGCUUAAUAGAAUUGGAAGUUUGACGACACUUUGAUGGGCUUUAUGUAGUUGGUUUGUGUGUUUUGCAACAUCACUUUGUUUGCUAUUAUGCUUGAAGUUAAAGCUUGUUCAUGCGAAGGUGUAACUGAAUUUGC